UUCCUCAUGUCACAAACUCACACCCGGUUCUUCGUCUUCCACUCUUCCUCUCCUAGAUCUCUUCAGCCUCUUCUAUCGUUGCCGCCUCAAUAGACCCAGUGGAUGUCCUCCUCUCCAUCCAGCUUUAAUCUCGGAUACAGAGUGACAGCAGUGACAUGUAGAAAUCCGGUGUAGGAGCCAGUUCCCAACCAAUAUUGAAUGCACAAUCCGCAGCAGAGAGUGCACUCGCUCAAUCAGCGUGCAUGUUGACUAUGCCAGCUGCUUAACGGUACUGGUGAAACUGAUCUCUCUCUCUCUCUCUCUUUGCUUUGUGUUCAGUAGUGUCUAGCUCUUCGUCGAGUUGAGUCCAAACUAAAACGUCCCAGAGACGUCUGUUGUAAAGACCCGUGUCUAAUAUGAUAUGCGUAUCAGAAAUCCGAUGUAAAGACCUGUUUUUUAAAUGUUAUUAUGCUCGAUUCUUUUAGAGACUUUUAUAUCGUUGUUUUGGUUUAAGUACCCGAGAAUCAAACAUAUUUUUGGAUCUUGGUUGCAUGGGGUGCAUCCUAAAGCAAAAAAUCUCAUUAUCACAAUUGUUGUAGCCUUAUGUUGGGUUAUUUGGAUAACCUGGAUUAAUUUAGUGUUUAAUAUUAUCGGACAACUCAUUGGCUUAGGUUAUAGAGACUUUUGUAGAAGAAAACAUGUCGACGAAUCGGAGUAGCAUCUAUGCAAAUUUUCUCUCGUUUUGGUUGAAGUUUUAUGAACAAGAUUACGUUUUGAGUUUUCCAGCCUUUCUGUUUUUUUUUUGAUAAGACAGGAGGGGCGAGCCCCUACUAAAAUUUUAUUAAAACUUUAAAACGACAGGGUUAGAAGCAUACAGGAAGAUAUAUUACAAAAAGUUAAAUUGGCGGAAUCUACUGUCAAUGUUGAAGCCAUUCAGGUAUUGCCGAGUCGAAUCUCCCUUUAGCUCUAUGCGUGACCAGGUGUAAUUCCUUUACGAACUCAUUUUUACAUUGUUGCACUGUUGGGUCCUUAUCCUGAAAAAGCCAGGCAUUACGGCACUUCCAAAUGCUCCAAGUCAUGAGAAUGACGAUUUCCAUAGAGAAGGGAACAUUGAGCUGCUGCUUUAGAUUUGCUGCAGCAUCCACAGGAUUAGUAAUUCUUGGGGGCGUCAAACUAAUAGAAUUCCAGCAAGCCUUCGCGAAGUUACAUUUGAGGAAAAGAUGAUAAAGGGUUUCCUCCUUUUGCCAGAUACAGGUGUAAGACUCAAGAGUCAUGUUUUUCCUCCUCAUCAUAUCCCUUGUAUUGAGUCUGUUCUUUAACCAAAGCCAAAAAAAGACCUUAUGUUUUGGUUGACACUUAUUUUUCCAAAGCGAUCUGAAGAUUUGAUGAACUUGAGCCUGACCCAUCAAGUGUCUAUAAGUUUUCUUUGUGGAGAAAUUAUCAGCUCCCCAAAUGAGUUUCCAAGCAUCCUUUGUGUUGGUCACCGUGAUUUGCCCCCAAGUUUCGUCUAAUUCAAGAAAUUGUUCAUAGGCUUGCACCGACAGAGGAAGCUGAAAAAUUUCAAUAAGGUGGUCCUUUUGGUUAGCUUCUUUGACAGUAAGUUUGCUGUUACAGGCGAAGGAAAAUAAUUCGGGAUAUUGAUGACCCGGGGUGCCCCUAUUCCACAUAUCUCCCCAGAAAAAAUGGUUCUCCCAUCCCCAAUUGUUGGGGCGGUCAAUCCCUUGUAAUCUUGGACAAGACUAAGCAAACUUUUCCACCAAAAGGAGCCAAUUUUUGAGCAGUUAGGGACCCUGUCAGUCCUGUAGUAGUUAUUCCAAACCAGGUUUACCCAAGGAAUAUCAUGAUUGUUGAAGAACUUGUGCAAAAACUUCAGAAGCAAAGCCUUGUUGUGUGUCUCUAAUCUUACCACUCUCAGGCCCCCAUUUUUUUAGUCUGAGUAAUCAUACUCCAAGCAGCCAGAGCAGGUUUCUUCGAAUUGACGUCAUUUCCUCUCCAAAGACAAUGUUUCCGAUAAGAAUCAAUCUUCUUGACCGUGGCAACCGGAAUUUUCAAGGUGCACAUCAGAAAGGUCGGGAGAGCUGAGAACACCGAGUUAACAAGCUCUAGCCUACCGGCCUGGGAAAGGAGAGCAGAAGUGCAUGACAAUCUCUUCUCAAUCCUAUGAAUGAGCGGUAAAAAGUGGCAAAUUUUAGGCUUUGAUAGACCAAGCGGAACACCAAGGUAGGUGAAGGGCAUUGAACCUGUCUGACAGUUGAGAGUUCCGGCUAGAAUCUCCAUUUUAGCGGGGCAAACAUUGAUGGGGUACAUACUUGAUUUGUUGUAGUUCACCUUGAGCCCCGUUGAAGUUGCAAAAGAGUUCAGAACAGCUCUAAGAAAGAAUAAUUGUCUAGGGCAAGCUUCCAUUAUCAACAAUGUGUCAUCCGCAUAUUGAACGAUCGGAAAAUCUUGACCACAAUUCGCGGCGAGGGGCAACUUGAGCAGGUCUUGUUGCCGCGCUUUGUUGAUGAUGCUCUGUAGCAGAUCCGCCGCGAGAACAAAAAGAAGAGGCGAGAGGGGGUCUCCCUGCCUAACCCCGCGCUUGCAAUGAAAAGUUUUCCCUGGUACGCCAUUAAGGAGGACCGAGGACGUGCCAGACCGAAGAAUAUCCCUAAUCCAGCUCAUCCACCUGGGCCCAAAACCUCUAUGCGACAUCACCUGAAGAAUCAACUCAUGCUCAAGAGAAUCAAAGGCCUUUUCAAAAUCCAAUUUGAGCACAAUAAUCUCUUUUUUUGAGAUAUGGCAAAGAUGAAUAUAUUCAUAUGCCCAGGCCAAGCAGUCCUGAAUGGUUCUUCCUUUGAUGAAGCCAUAUUGAUUUUUGUGAACAAGGGAAGUCAUCACUGCCUGUAAACGAUUGGCCAGCAGCUUAGUGAUGAUUUUCAUACUAUUAUUCAGAAGCGAAAUUGGUCGGAAAUCACCCACUAAACUAGCAUUAUCCUUCUUCGGGAUCAGGACAAUGAAAGAACCAUUGAUACUUCGAAGACAAACAUCCCCGUGGUAAAAUUGGUCACAUAAGUCAUAGAAGUCCUGAGAAAUAAUCGGCCAACAUUUUUUGAUAAAAUUGGUAUUAAACCCAUCAGGUCCCGGAGAUUUGUCAGAAGGAAGAGCCGCAACAAUACUAUCAAUUUCUUGCUUUGAAAAAGGCUCAUCUAACCAAUGCAAGUCAUUGUGGAAGAACGCAAGCUAGGGAGAUCAAAGACAUUUUCCAAAAAAUUUGAGGAUCCCAAACGACAUUUGAAAACAUUCCAAAGCAGGUUAGCUUUAAGAUCAUGCUCUGAAAAGAUUGAGCCACUGUCAUCCGAGAGCAACGCAAUUGAAUUGCGACCACGCUUUACCGUUGCAUGAGCAUGAAAAAAUCUGGAGCAGAUAUCUCCCUCAGUGACCCAUUUGAUGGAAGCUCGUUGCUUCCAAUAAAUUUUUUGAAACUGAAGCAACUCAGCAGUGUUGGAUUGCAACAACUCACGGAAAUUUCAUUCUUCAAUCGAAAGGUCACGGUGCUCUUCAAUAAUAUCAAUGAAUUCAAUAAUCAACUUAAUUUGUCUCACAGUUUUGUCAAUUUUUGGCAGUGAUCGUUGCCACUCUUUAAGAAUCUUUCUAGUGAACUUGAAUUUUGUCGUUAAGUUCUUCGCUUUGUCCAAAAGAUUUGGCAGACCAGUCCAAGAAUUUUGGAAAACAGUCAUAAACUCAUCGAAUUGCAGCCAGAAAUUUUCAAAUCUAAAGAUCUUGGGUUUGGGGACCUUUGACUUGAAAGAAAUCAGACAAGGCACAUGAUCAGAGAUAUCCCUAGGCAGCGUUGUUGCGAGGGUGUCAGGGUAACACACCGACCAUUCUUGCAACAUGAAAAACCAAUCAAGUCUCUGAAGAAGGGGCACCCUUUGCCUGUUCGACCAGGUAAAGGAGAGGCCAUGGAGCGGAAUUUCCAUCAGGUCGAGCUGACUGAUUGCCUCGUUAAAAUUCAGCAUCAAGUUAAUGUCCCCCCCCAGCGAUAUUUCUGUUUUCAGACCUACGCGUAAGGUUAAAGUCCCCAACUAUCAACCAGCGCUUUUCCGAGGGCAUAUUAAUAUUGGAGAACCAGUGGAGGAAUUCAAUUUUCCCAUGCGGAGAACAGGGCGCGUAAACGUUAGUGACAAUCCAAGAUUCAUCCGGCGAUAUAGCAGAAAACUCAACCGAGAGAGCAUACUCGUUCUGAAAAAUAGCACUGCCAACCAACUUCGAACUAUUCCAAACAGUAAUGAAACCCCCCAAAUUUCCUAUCGAAGGGACAAAAGCAAACUCAUCAAAAGAAUUGGGACAGAACCUUCUGAGGUCAGCCCUGUCAAAAAAUUCCUUCUUCGUCUCCUGCAAGCAGAUGAUGUCGUAAUUGGAUUCCCUAAUCACACAAUGAAUACCAUUCCCCUUAGCCACCGCGUUGAUACCUCGGACAUUAAAACUUAAAACGGACCAGUCGGAAAAAUUAAUAGCAUUGUGACUAUUCAUCGAAAGGAUCAAGUUCGUUGAUGAAAAGGGACCCAAACCCAAUUACUGGGAGGACAAAAGUGUAUCUGUUAGAACGGAACAUAGCACUGCCAGAAACCACAGAGUUCUUCAACACAACAAGCAAACAAAGACGCCAGGGCCGAGACAGCCAAAAAGCCUGGCGAAAAUGAGACCUGCAAAAUAACCCCACCCGAAGCAGCAUCAACAGAUCAGUUGUCAUCAUCUAAAGAGUCUUGUUUCUUAUCCCCCUUGUCUUUUUUCCCUGACUUAUUAGAGCCAACACAGCCAGGUGGGUUCUUCUUUUUCUUCAUAGCUUUGUCAGCCAGCUCCUCUUCUGACAGAUUGCAGAAGCUCUCUCCUAAGCGUCUGAUAGUCUUAGCUGAUAGGGAGGGGGGACCCUCAAACUUGUGUUGACACAUCAAGCAGUUCUUCUUCUGGCAGGAACCCUGUCUGAACCCAGCCCGGGUGUCACGGAGCCUCUUGCUUCUCCUUAGGUCAGAUUCCACAACAACAUGUUUUGGUGGGGAGGAGGCCGGGUCUGAGGGAACAGAAGCGUCGUCAGCAGAUUCCUCAGAAAGGACCGAAUCAAGAAACUUGCCAUCAGGGCACUUCCUGGGGAUGACAAAGGGAUGUGUCUCAGUCUCUGGCUCCAUCAGAGCAGAAGGAAUAUCUGAAGACAAGAAAGAUUUUGACCAACUAAAAGAAUCUUCAUGCAUCAAGUUGGAUAGGAAAAAGGGCGCCCAUUUCUUGGGAACCUGCACCAAGGUCACCGAAUUACCAACCGGGGCAAAAUAGUUAGCCCAGAUCCUAUAGAACUGGGCAUUCCUUUUCCUUUCCAAGUGACUCAGCAAAACAGGGUCUGGCUGCCAGUCACGCGAAAACAUAAAGUUCAACAUCACGUUGUUGUGGCCAUUAACGUUAGGUUCCACCGGCUGAGCAUCAGGGAAAACAAUAUCCCCAGGCACAUGAAGAACUCCCUGAAUUGGUGGGUCGUCAACCUCCUGGGGCCCAAUCAAAGGGAUGUCACCCAAGGCAGGGGGCGGGGGCAUUAAAGUUGGGCACCGGCCCCACACCCACCAGAUCAUCAGGAAUCUACCCAUUCUGAAUCUGCCCAUUCUGCAGCAGGGCACCAUGAAUGUGACCAGAAGAACUAUCCGAGGACAGGUCCGAAUGCGGAUUGCUAACCUGUUGCUCGUCAGGUGGCAGGUCCAGAUGAGGCUGCUGUACAGGUGGAUCAUUAACAAUCCAUUGGUCCCAAUCUCCUUGAAUGUUGUCUGCUGGCUGGGCUUGGACAUUGUCUUCUGGCGGGAAAUUAAGAUCCCAGCCCACAGCCGGCACAGGUUGACCCAAACCAAAAAAACUCAAGAGGGAGCUGCUGACCAUCCUCCGGAACCACUGGCACCGGAUCCUCAUCUUGAGGCUGACCCCCCAACAAAGUUUGUUGGAUGAUCUCACACUGCACAGUCCACGAGUCACCAAUAAAGCCAUCAGCUUCUGAAAAAACAAUGAACUGUGGGACCUCCUCCAGAGACGUGACCCGAACCCUGAGCAGAGUCCUGUAGACAUUGCGUCUGUCCUCUUCCCACAAGAUCAAUCUGCCAAAAGAGCCAAUAGCCGCCUGCAAGUAUUCUGAUGAACGGUAAUCCAGGGGGAAUCCCAACAACAUAAGCCAACAUUCCCGAUUAAAGAAAAGGGCUCUAUGAUUCCAAGCAUCGUUAUGCCGCUGAGCAGUGAAGGAAGCAUCGAGGUAUUGUUGCGGACCGAGCAGGACAAGAUUGUCCCUUUCAAGCACGCUGCUAAACUGAACCAGAACCUGACCCAGGUGCGACCGCUGGAUAUCGCGCACCCCAAGCCGUCUGUGCUCCACAAGGUAUUCUCUAACCACAUCCCUCACCGCCGGGAAAGUAAUCUCAUGGUCAGGUAAAGGUUGAAUGCUGAUAAUAGCCCAGUCCUCAUGCAAUGGCGGGAGGCGCCUAGUAACUGACCUGGCCAUAAUUUCCCGGUGAAGGACCACCGAGGCGCUGAAGCCCGGCAGGAGAAAGGGUUCAGGAUCAACGCGCCUAUACGCCAUCGGAGUAGGAACCGAGGAUCGGCAACCAGCGGACGAAGACGGAGCAGGUUGGGGUUUUGGUGAGAUGACGCCCAAAGAAAGCGUCAGGGACUGAAGGGGUGCCGAUUCAGAUUUUUUUAAUACCUCCCGGGCGAACUCCUCGAAGCAAGUGAAAAUGGGCGGUCCACCGAUCAGAGACACCACAGGGGUGCGAAACCAGGUACUGUGAUCAGGAGAAUUUUGGUUUCCCACCAAGAUGGCCCGACUCCCAAAGGCAGGGAACGAAGUCAGAGGAGAACCGAAGGAAGUAUUCUUGUUGGAACAAAAAAAAUCUAAGUGUCCCCGGCCCUUACAUUGGGUGUCUGUUUUAGGUUUGUGGUGUAGGACUGCACUCUAUGUUGAAAGUGAUGGUCGUUUAUUGUCAGUUUGUGUGUCUAGCUAGUUUGUAUGUUGUUGGGGACUUGUUCUCAAGUGCUAAGAGUUAAGAACAAGGCAACAUAAAAAGUGUUAAGUGUUAAAAUCCUUCGUCCUUCGAAGCAUUAUGCCCCUUUGGGAAAUAAUGAGUCUCGGACGAAGGUCAUGAGAAACAUACCUUCGUAAACGUAAUAAGUAAUGACGAAGGACUCACAUAAAGCAUGAAAUAUGAUAUAAGCAUCACCAUAGAAUCAUUUCUAUUUUAUUGACAUGGAAAAACAGAAAUGAUUCCAAAUUACAAAUGUACCUUCGGUCCUGAGAGAAGGUGAAAAGUACGAGCGUAAUGCCAAAAGCAAAAUGCCAAGUCCGCGUGAACAGUACGGGAGUACUGUUCAUCUAUUUAUAGACGCGGGACGCAGCCCACGUAAAAUUACAUUCAUGUCCAUUACAUUUGUUAACGGUUUAUGGAAAUCUAUUGAGGACCCCGAAGUCUUUUCAUCUUAAGGUCGGUUCCCCCUUGUGCCAUCGCACCGAAGCUUCCCUGCGUACAGCUUCGGCUGCCCCCGACCUUCGUCUGGCUCAGCCUUCGUCCUGGUCGUGCUCCAUAUCCAUAAUUCUGAAUCCGAAAAUACCUGUUCAUAUAAUUCACUUGGAAAACAUUGUCAAAUCAUGUUUUUGAGGACCUUCGGAGGACGAAGGCCCCCAACAGUAGCCCCUCGCAAUAUUAAUUUGUAAAUAAUAAAUUCAGAUUGCGAUAUGGACGAAGGCCUUGAGCCGAAGGUCCGAAAAAACACCUUCCCUUUGCUAGAAUAGCAACAUUCACUGACAAGCGGGGCCUUUUAACUUUCAACGCCCUAGGCGUAUAAAUAAGAACACAUCGUGAAUUCAUUUGGUACACACGCUUGCCUUUUGCUUCGGCCCACUAAAAAUUUUUAGCUCUUGCUCAUUGAGAUUUGCUGGUCUUUUUGAUUUCGAAGCCUCGGCCUUGGGAACAAAUUUUUAGUGUUUCCGAAGAUGUCUGAAGACAAGAAGAUCCCUGCUGAGACGAAGCUGAGUCUCGAGGAGGAGAAGAAUCUGGGGUUCCUGAUAGCGAUGGCAGAGACUAAUACAGAGAAAAUCACGAAGGAGAUUCUCGAAGGUUUGUCCGAAGAUACUAAUGACAGCGACAGCUAUGAUGUGGAAAGUGAUGGGGAAGAGGCCGAAGAUCGACCGUGGCGACCAAGUCACUCAGUUUUUGGGAAAACAACCAUCAAGCAGAGUCACAUUGAUAAUAUGAGGGGGCGAUACUUCCGAGACAUAUCUAUUGUGAGAGCUGAUGCCGGGGAAAAGACUUCUCCCACCCCUGAAGAAGAUGAAGUUGUGAUUUUCCGAAGCCUCCUCAAGGCUGGGCUUCGAUUCCCCCUGAGCAAUUUUGUUGUUGAGGUACUGAAAACAUUCCAAAUCUACCUUCAUCAACUCACUCCCGAAGCUAUUAUAAGAAUGGGGAUUUUUGUCUGGGCUGUGAGAAGCCAAGGUUUGGAACCAAACGCUAAAAGCUUCUGCAACAUACACGAGUUAUUGUACGAGACGAAGCCCUGGGGAAAGGAGCAAUACCACAACAACUUUGGGUGCUACAGCUUCGGCGCCCGUUCCGGGUCAAGCUACCCUGUGCCAACCUUUCGGAAGAGGUGGCCCGGAGCCUGGAUGUCUGAAUGGUUUUAUGUGAAAAUUGAUCUAACAGCGCAAAAUAAUGUCAAAAGUAUCAUUAUGUACCCAAUUUGGCAACGCUUCGGGCUUCGAAGGCCGAAGGUUGAAAUGGAUGAGGCAGCCGAAGAAUGCCAAAGAGCCUUCGGCGCAGUCUGCUCCUUCAUUGGGUCAAGGGACUUGAUCCAGGAGCACAUUGCCUUCAGGGUAUGGCCACUUGCAGAAAAGUGGGAAAUGCCGAAAGAAACCAUCAAAGAGUCCAACGAAGGCGGACUAGUCAGAUUAAAAUACACAUUCAAAUAUGCAGAUAAAUUUAUUGAACCUGAUGAUGACUGGCUGAAAAGCAUUGAAACAUUAAGUGAUGAAUUACUUGGGGCAUUCUCGAAGGCUGAAAAUACUGCACUAUCAGCAGCCUUCGGAGGCCGAAAAAAGAAGAGACUGAACCGAGUGUUUGAUGCAAUCGGGUUCUUCUACCCUGAUUAUUGUUAUCCCAUCCGAAGGCAAAAAAGGAAAAACAUAACCUCUGAAAAAGAAGAAGCUGGAACCGCUCCUAGCGAGCCAGAACCAAAAGGAAAAAGGUUGAAGGUCUUCACACACCGACCACGCCAUAUUGAACCAGCUUCGGUGCCUGAGUAUACUGGAGGAACUCCUUCGGCCGCUGAAGCUGAACGGCCACACUUAUUGCCAGAAAUUGCAGAGAUGGCCGAAGCACCAUCGACAGAAAAAAUGGAAGAAGCGAAAAAUGUGACUAAGGAAAAAACCUCAGAAAUUUUAAGUCCUGCAAUAAAUAUUGAAGCAGCAAAAAUCCAAAAGGCUCCAAUGGUGACCCCAAAAAGGAAAAGAAUGGUAAAUGUACUAGAUGUCUUGGAGACAAUUAAGUCUUCAAGCACAACUCCAAAAAAGAGUGUUGAAAUUGCUGAAGCUUCCUCUGAAGCUCCGACACAACAAACUGAAGCUGAAGCUGGGCCUUCAGAGCCCUUCAAGGAAGAAACUUUGGAAGCCGAAGCGAUAAAAAUACCAGAACCAAUUUUAGUUGAAGAGACUGACACUGCCAUCCCCGAAGCGCCUGCCAGUAUGUGUGAUUACAUCAUACGACAUGCUUCGGGAAAAAAGCUAUCUGAUGGAGAAAUUCAUGAAGCUAAUCAUUAUGCAAAGGAGCUGAAAUAUCCGAAGGGGGCAGUAAUAUUCAAUGGAACAAAUGAAGAUGACUUCUUAUACUGCCUGCCUGAUAACAAAGAGCUAUCCGUCUGCCGAGAGAUGGCUAGAAGCCUAGGCUUUCCGAAGCUUGAAGCUGGGUUAAGUGCCAUGACGAAAGAGGAUCUCGCAGACAGCCUUGCGUACAACAGCCUGAAGGUACGGGAAUUAAACACUUGAGAAAAAACCCCCUUUUUUUUUUUUACGCAACUCAUUCCUUUUUUCUUAUAUGAAUUCUUUUUCGUAUAGGGCCUGAUCCUAAGCAACGCACUAAGAGCCCAAAAGAGCGCCGAAGAUGAAAGCUAUGAAAUUGCGUUUAAUAAUUUACGCUCCGAAGUUAUCAAACUGAGAAACGAAGCUUUGGAAAAAGAUAAAAUUCUACUUACGCUGGUAGAUAAAGUGAAAAAAGACGAGGCUGCUUCAAAGGCCCAGGCCGAAGCUCAGAAGCGCGAGAUUAAAGAUCUUCAGAAACAGCUGGCUAGAGCUAAAGAGGAGUGCGCGCUUGAAGAAACGAAACGAGAACUUAGUGAUUUUAUGGUCAACAAAUUGGAAUCAAAAGUUAAGGAGCUUCGCACAUCUCAGGGGAAAUGCUAUGUCAAAUCUGUAGAAUGUGUGAAUAAAAUUAAAUCCAGCUUCGCCAGCGUAGGCGCCUUUUCCAGCGAAGAGAAUUUCUCUCGAGGCAAUCCCGAAGGUCCGCUGGAAUGGAUUAGCCACGAAGCAGAGGCCUUCGAAGAGAUUCUGAACAGUCGUGGCGACAUAUGUGCUUUUUCGGGUGCCAGAGGAAUUGCUUCCGUCUUAGAGAAGAAAGGUUGCGAACAUGUAAAAUUUUUAGCUCAAUCCGAAGCUACCUUGUCUUCCGAAGACAUCAAAGACCCCUCGGCCGAGGCGAGCGUAGUUGGAGGCAAAUUUUUUACUGAUAUCUGGAACGACGGCGGCCGAGGAAUGGCGCGAGAGAUCAUUGAAAGAAGCGAAAAAGGCAUACACGAUGCUAGAAGAGUAGCAGACGCUGCCGAAAAGAGUAGGGAGCCCGAAAGACAGUUAGGUACCAACUAGUCGUUCUUGUUGCGCUGUAAUUUUCAUUUUAAACUUUGCUCGCGAUUUGUAAAAGUACUGAAGAAGUGUUCUCUUCGCUCAGAAACUGUUGAACGAUCUGCCGUCCCCCACACAAAAGGGGAUGAAGAAAUUAAUCAAAUGGCCGAAACUAUCAUGGACAAGGUUGUUGACCAACUCCUGAAUGCAGCCGCCGAAGCAGUAUUGAGGGAGGAUUAGGUGCUAUUUGGAAAAAACAUUUAAAGUGUAAUCUAUGCAACACUUUGUACAUUUGAAUGUAAUAUACAAGUCUCUUUUCAUUACUGAAUUCUUUACGAUGCAUGAAACUUUAAAUACAUACCACUUUUGAGCCUUCGGCGAAAAAACACCUUCCCUUCUUUUCAUGCGUCGUGAAGAAGAUAGCCUUCGUCAAAAUUAUUCUGAUGAAUGUCGUCGAUGCCUCGUGAAAACAUUUUCCGAAGCUAUUUUCCGAAGCUCUGCAACUUUGAUAUUGAUCUGAUAAAGUUCGCCCAUGUUUCGUGAAAAUAUUCCCCAAAACUGUAUUCCGAAGCUAUACAAUUUCAAUGUCACUUUUGCAAAGCAUCCCUUCGAAGGUUGAGAGUGUCCCCUUCUCUUGCCGAAUGCGAUAUGAUGUAUGAUGCUUAUGCUAUGCAAAAUGAUGUGAUGAUGUUAUGUUAUGCAUGUGACAUUUGUUCCGAAGAUACACAUAAAAUAUAUUCGUAAGCUCUGCAUCCCCUUAGGAACGUCUUUGGAGCUUCUUCGUCUUUUACUUAGACGGCAUCAGCGUUGACUUUUCGCUGUAAGCCUCCCUUAGGAGCUUCUUCGUCUUUUACUUAGACGGUAUCAGCGUUGACUUUUCGCUGUAAGCUCUGCAUUCCUUUAGGAACGACUUCUGAGCAGAAAACUUACGCUGCGCUCCCUUUGGAACGACUUUUUGUGACUUUAUAAACUUACUCUGCGUUCCUUAGAACGACUUUUUGUUACUCCGAAGGAUUUUUAGUCCGAAGGUCCUUCUUGGUAACAGAAGAAGUUUUAGGCUUCGGCAACUUAGGCCUGUGAAUCGAAUAAAUUUUUCUCGUGGAAACAACGAAAUUAUUACAUGGAAACUAUCAAUGUUUUUUGCUUCACAGAAAGUAAAACUGAAUAGAAAAGACUGCUAUCAAAGGUAGGAUAUGUCAAUAAAUGUGCUUCGACUCUGGCACAGUGCUGUUGACUGUGCGAGCUUCGGACUGUUCUCUGAAGUCCCUCUGCUGUGGAGCGUAUUGACUCCCUUCUGGCUGUAGACCUUGCUGCAAUGGAGGUGGAGGCGGAGGCUGCUGCCAGGAAGCUUGAGGUUGACUUGCCGAAGCUACAGAAGCCGCAGGGUGGUUGUCUAUGUAUUGUGGGACAUAAGGUGGAUGAAACGAAGCAGUAUGCAAAACCUGCUUCGACUGAGCUUGUUGAGAUGCAGCUUCGGCUAGUUCCUUUUGCUUCUGGAUUGUAACAUGGCACGUCCUAGUGGUGUGGCCCUUGCCCUCUCCACAGAAUAGGCAAAACAGUCUCCUUGGCUGAUCUCCGAAUCUUCCGCCGAAGCCCCUGGCGCCUCUGCCUCUUGGAGCUGGUGGCCGAAAGGAAGUUUGUUGUUGCCCCGAAGCCUGUGAGGAGCACUGCGGCCUGUUUUGCUGACUCCCCUUAUCAUCAUUCUGAGUGCUGUGAAUGGAACGGACAUGCCUCGGGUAGUAUCUUCCUCCGAAGCCCCUGGUCAUCUCAGAAAAUCUGAAGGCCUCCUCCCUUCUUUGGCGAAAGUCAUUGUCGGCACGAAUGUACUCAUCCAUCUUUUGGAGCAAUUUCUCCAAGGUCUGAGGAGGCUUCCGAGCAAAGUAUUGAGCUGCAGGUCCAGGACGAAGCCCCUUGAUCAUGGCUUCGAUAACGAUUUCAUUGGGCACCGUUGGUGCCUGCGCCCUCAAUCGUAAGAACCUUCGGACAUACGCCUGAAGGUAUUCUUCGUGAUCCUGAAUACACUGGAAGAGAGCUUGAGCUGUAACCGGCUUCGUUUGAAAUCCUUGAAAGCUGGUCAGUAACAUAUCCUUCAGCUUCUGCCAUGAAGUGAUUGUUCCUGGCCGAAGGGAGGAAUACCAGGUCUGAGCAACAUUCCUGACGGCCAUGACGAAAGACUUCGCCAUGACUGCAGCGUUGCCCCCGUACGAAGACACUGUUGUUUCGUAGCUCAUCAAGAAUUGCUUCGGGUCGGAGUGGCCGUCAAACAUGGGGAGCUGGGGUGGCUUAUAGGAUGGAGGCCAAGGUGUAGCCUGCAGCUCAGCAGACAGAGGAGAAGCAUCAUCAAAAACAAAAUUUCCCUGAUGGAAAUUAUCAUACCAGUCGUCUUCGUUGACGAAGCCCUCCUGAUGAAGGUCUUUCUGAUGAGGCCUUCUGUUCUGCUCAUCGUGAGUGAGAUGGCGAACUUCCUCAGAAGCUUCGUCAAUUUGCCUUUGCAACUCAGCUAGGCGGGCCACCUUCUCCUUCUUCCUUUGCACCUGUUGAUGUAGCAUCUCCAUCUCUCUGAUUUCUUGAUCUAGCUCUUCUUCCUCAAGCGUCGGGCUAACAGCUUUUCUCUUCUGGCUUCUGGCCUCCCGAAGAGAGACGGUCUCCUGGUUGUGGUCCAGCGGUUGUAGUGCUGCAGCCCCAGUCGCUGAAGCUUUCUUCGGCGCCAUAGCGAAGGUCUAUAGCUUCCGAAGGUGUUCACGAAGACUCGAAGUGGAAGUGAGUUCACCGGAGGUGGGCGCCAAUGUUGGGGACUUGUUCUCAAGUGCUAAGAGUUAAGAACAAGGCAACAUAAAAAGUGUUAAGUGUUAAAAUCCUUCGUCCUUCGAAGCAUUAUGCCCCUUUGGGAAAUAAUGAGUCUCGGACGAAGGUCAUGAGAAACAUACCUUCGUAAACGUAAUAAGUAAUGACGAAGGACUCACAUAAAGCAUGAAAUAUGAUAUAAGCAUCACCAUAGAAUCAUUUCUAUUUUAUUGACAUGGAAAAACAGAAAUGAUUCCAAAUUACAAAUGUACCUUCGGUCCUGAGAGAAGGUGAAAAGUACGAGCGUAAUGCCAAAAGCAAAAUGCCAAGUCCGCGUGAACAGUACGGGAGUACUGUUCAUCUAUUUAUAGACGCGGGACGCAGCCCACGUAAAAUUACAUUCAUGUCCAUUACAUUUGUUAACGGUUUAUGGAAAUCUAUUGAGGACCCCGAAGUCUUUUCAUCUUAAGGUCGGUUCCCCCUUGUGCCAUCGCGCCGAAGCUUCCCUGCGUACAGCUUCGGCUGCCCCCGACCUUCGUCUGGCUCAGCCUUCGUCCUGGUCGUGCUCCAUAUCCAUAAUUCUGAAUCCGAAAAUACCUGUUCAUAUAAUUCACUUGGAAAACAUUGUCAAAUCAUGUUUUUGAGGACCUUCGGAGGACGAAGGCCCCCAACAUAUGUCUGGUUGUACCCUUAUUUUGGGGACAAAUCCGGAACUUGGUUUCCAUUAUCUACAACAUGUUAUCCAUCUCUGACGUGAGCUAACACGUCGCUGAUAUCGUCCACGUCGCAAUUUACAAAUGCAAAGCGUUUGCUAAUAUACAUCUUGACCUGUACAGUCACAAAUCUAAGCAAUCCAAGGCAUAAUUAAAUUAGACAGGAGGACGUAAUGAAGCCACGACAGUCAUCAUGCAUGUUUGAAAGUUCCCGUGCGGAUGACAUAAUGAUCUUUGCACAUGUUUACAGGAAGGAUGUCAGCGCCUUCACAACCUUCUCCGGCCUGCAGAUGAUGUGAGAUGCGUCAAGGAUGUACAAAGUCUAAAGGGUAGUGGAUGUACACAGCUUUUAAUUCGUGAAACUGUAUGUAAACGUUAUUCUAAAAAAAAACUGUAUGUAAACGUUAAUUGGCUGAACCCAUCAAGCUUCUGAAAACAGUUACCAG
rnacentral:lncRNA from 1 species